rnacentral:lncRNA from 1 species
AUAUCUAGGUUUGGAAUAUGAUCUUGUUGAACUUGAUGAGAACAACAAGAAUUUGAUCACCUAUAUGGAUGUCAUGUAGAGGUUCAACUCUGAUUAAUGACUUGGAGCUAUAAAGUCUGAAAUGAAAUCCAUGAAGAUCAACGAUGUAUGUGCACUCGUUGAUCCACUCGAAGGGGUAAAAUCUAUAGGGUGUAAAUAGAUCUUCAAUA